UCUGAGAGCUGAAAGUCUGUUUCCCACCCCUCCUGAAGACAGGCAGGGAGGGAAAGCUCACUCCCUGGGGUGUUGUUUAGACAUAGCCAUUGUUAGGUCAGAGUCUUGGAACAGCAGACAGACCUGGAGAUACCACCCAGGGACAGGAUAGCCUGAGAGGCCUGUACAGACAGCAGAAAAGGUUUGGAACUGACAGUGGAGGAACCCCACCCAGAUUCCAAAAAUAAUGCAGAACACGACUUACUCUGCAAACAUAUGAAAGGUUUUAAAAUACUACUUAUGCUUCCCAUUUGUCAACAUCUUAUCCAGAAAAGAGUCACUCAAAGAAGAUGGUUCACUGUCACUUGAGUCCUGCACUUUUUGCAGCCGCGCGAAAUGGAGCACCAAAGUAAUGUAUUUUGGUCAAGCUCAGAAAGAAUUUGUAUGUCAUCAAGUACUGCCAGCAAAAAAUCUUCACAGCUAUAACUAGACCUUGAAAGCUACAACACUGACCAUGUGACUUGGUCAAAUAUAGAUCUAACUUCUUGUGAAGCACCUGGAAAACCAAUGACAACUCAGAUUUACCAGAAGAGUUGUUUCAGCUCCCAGCUAAAUGAGAGAAUUUUUGGACAUUUGCCCUGCUUGAUUGAUGCAAAUAUAUUCUGGAAAUAGACCACUAAACCCCAUUGUUAAAAUACCCUAAAUAACAUCCCG